GACGAACGCUGGCGGCGUGCUUAACACAUGCAAGUCGAACGCUGAAGCUCAGCUUUUGUUGGGUGGAUGAGUGGCGAACGGGUGGGUAACACGUGAGUAACCUGCCUCCUUCUUUGGGAUAACGCCCGGAAACGGGCGCUAAUACUGGAUAUUCACUGGUCUUCGCAUGGGGGUUGGUGGAAAGGGUUUUUCUGGUGGGGGAUGGGCUCGCGGCCUAUCAGCUUGUUGGUGGGGUGAUGGCCUACCAAGGCUUUGACGGGUAGCCGGCCUGAGAGGGUGACCGGUCACAUUGGGACUGAGAUACGGCCCAGACUCCUACGGGAGGCAGCAGUGGGGAAUAUUGCACAAUGGGCGCAAGCCUGAUGCAGCGACGCCGCGUGAGGGAUGGAGGCCUUCGGGUUGUGAACCUCUUUCGCUCAUGGUCAAGCCGCAACAAUGGUUGUGGUGAGGGUAGUGGGUAAAGAAGCGCCGGCUAACUACGUG
rnacentral:rRNA from 1 species